UACGUAGGGGGCAAGCGUUGUCCGGAAUCAUUGGGCGUAAAGAGCGUGUAGGCGGCCCGAUAAGUCCGCCGUGAAAGUCCAGGGCUCAACCCUGGAAUGCCGGUGGAAACUGUCGGGCUCGAGUCCGGAAGAGGCGAGUGGAAUUCCUGGUGUAGCGGUGAAAUGCGCAGAUAUCAGGAGGAACACCAAUGGCGAAGGCAGCUCGCUGGGACGGUACUGACGCUGAGACGCGAAAGCGUGGGGAGCAAACAGG
rnacentral:rRNA from 1 species